rnacentral:rRNA from 1 species
CUCUAUGGCCACACCACCCUGAAUGUGCCCAAUCUCAUUUGAUGUUGGAAGCUAAGCAGGGUCGGGCCUGGUUAGUACUUGUAUAGAAGAAAACAUUUUUACCAAUGUUCAUUUGAGCUGUGGAAU